rnacentral:rRNA from 1 species
AACGAACGCUGGCGGCAUGCCUAACACAUGCAAGUCGAGCGCCGUAGCAAUACGGAGCGGCGCACGGGUGAGUAACGCGUGGGAACCUGCCCAGAGGUUCGGGACAACCGCGGGAAACUGCGGCUGAUACCGGAUGAUACCUGAGGGUCAAAGAUUUAUCGCCUUUGGAGGGGCCCGCGUCCGAUUAGGUAGUUGGUGAGGUAACGGCUCACCAAGCCUGUGAUCUGUAGCUGGUCUGAGAGGAUGACCAGCCACACUGGGACUGAGACACGGCCCAGACUCCUACGGGAGGCAGCAGUGGGGAGUAUUGGACAAUGGGGGCAACCCUGAUCCAGCAAUGCCGCGUGGGUGAUGAAGGCCUUCGGGUUGUAAAGCCCUUUCGGCGGGGACGAUGAUGACGGUACCCGCAGAAGAAGCCCCGGCUAACUUCGUGCCAGCAGCCGCAGUAAAAC